AGGAAUGAAUAAGAGUGCCAUUCCCUGUUAAAACAUUCCUCUGCUAUUAGUUUCAAAUGUGUAGCGACGAGGCAGAGAGAGAGAGAGGGAGAGAGACGGUCCUUGUGUAUUACAGACUGAAGAAUGGACAAUUCUUACAAAUGGCAGCUGCAUGGAAGUCCAAGGUCAAGGCACGUCUAGUCGGAAGUCCAAGUUCAAGUUAAAGGAGGCGGUCAGUUCCUCUGCAGACAUGUUAAUUGCGACAGCAUGUAAUGACAUCUGGGUGUUUACUGUGCUGACUGGCUGAGACUCGCCGCAGGCUGAAUGAGUACCUGAGGGGUGGCUGGAUGGCGCGGCAGGCCGGUUUAUGAGGAGGGAUGGUAAACAGACAGCAGCGAUGGCCAAAACCAAGGUCCUGCCCUUUGGAUCGAGCAAGUCUGAGGCCAGAGGAAAGAGCCAGCCAAGCAGGAAGCAAACGCAUGCUCCCUAUUCACUACAUCAUAAAUGCUCUCUUCAUUCCAGCCAAAUCUGAGCUGUUCCUCAAGAACUUGGACAUUAUAUAAUGCGUCUAUAAUUUAUAGCUAAUCCUUAAUAAUCCAUUAUUCAGGAACGUGGAUUUCCAGUGAAAGCACUAUAGUUGAGAUGUUCAUUAAUAUCAUCAUCGCAGCAUUCUGAUGGUUUGUUUUCCCCACAGAUGGAUUUGUUCUAAAAUAUGAGGGCAUUCAAAAUCCCACAAGACUCAAUACUGGAUCAGAUCCAGUUUCACUUAAUACUUCCUCUCUCAUCCUUGUGAUGUUAAUCAUUGUCCCACAGUUACCAGUGUUCUUUUAUCACACAACACUUUUAUAGGAAGACAUAAUGUUUGGCUGUAAACAUGUCUCCAACAACAUGCUGCUACAUUUGUAUGCCAACAGAUCCUGAAACCCACAUGAAACUAAUUACAUCAUCCACCAUUCUUAAAAAAAUGUUGUGCCGUCAGACAGAAAGAAAGAUCAACGGAGAGACAGACAGAUAAAGAGAGGCAGAAAGACAGGUUUGCGACGUUAAGCUGAGGUCUUCUUGUUUGGUAUAUUCUCCUUGGCACUAAAAGUCAUAAAAGGCCUUCAGGUUUUACAAUGUCAUGUCCAAACGCAGCAUCCCCCACGGCUUCUCUUUCCCCUUCUCUCUCUUUCUCUCUUCCCUCCCUCUGAGCUACCUUCACCUCCCCCCAUGCUUUCUUCCAUCAUCAGUCGAAAAAGACAAGCAUAUUCUUACUGCUGAAAAGCACUAUGAAUAUUGUUGAAAAGUACAGACUGGAAGGAAUUUAGUGGUCUCGUGUUUGCGUGCCAUUGAUUUUGUUGACAGUGGUCAGAAUGUUCUAAUGCAUGUGGUACAGAUCGAACGAUCUCAAAACCGCUUUUGCUACUGAUGGCUUUCCAAGAACACAUCAGAAGUGCCGCUUUAGGCUUAUGAUGCCAGUGCGAGUCCCUUUUAGUGUUUCUUGCUGCUUUUGAACACUUAUUGUUUUAAAAAUGGCAAACAGUACAGAUAAAAAAAAGUCUUCAAUGUUUAAAAAAAAUUGACUUUGCA